rfam:Saccharopolyspora rectivirgula strain DSM 43113 contig00075, whole genome shotgun sequence.
CUGGCACCGGUUCACCCGUCGGCGGCAAUGGCUGGCGGGACCCGGCGGCC